rnacentral:lncRNA from 1 species
GUUGCCAGCUUCUAUUUAGACUUUUCAGUAUCUUGAUAUUGAUCUCUUCUUUGUCAAAGACUUUGCCAAGAGCCAUAAGAUGAUUUACUAUAUGAGUGAAUCUUUUCUUGAUUUCAUAGAUUGUUUCACCAGUCUUCAUCCUAAAAAGCUCAUACUCUUGAAUCAACAAAUUCUUUCUUACUCUCUUGACUUCAUCAGUUCCCUCAUGAGUGACUUCCAAGACAUCCCA